rnacentral:rRNA from 1 species
GAUUAACGCUAGCGGCAGGCAUAAUACAUGCAAGUUGAACGGCAGCACAGGUAGCAAUACUGGGUGGCGAGUGGCGCACGGGUGCGUAACACGUAUGCAACCUACCCUAUACAGGCGAAUAACCUUUAGAAAUGAGGGCUAAUACGCCGUAGUAUUACAGAUGGGCAUCUAUUUGUAAUUAAAGAUUUAUCGGUAUAGGAUGGGCAUGCGUCCCAUUAGUUAGUUGGUAAGGUAACGGCUUACCAAGACGAUGAUGGGUAGGGGAUCUGAGAGGACUUACCCCCACACUGGUACUGAGACACGGACCAGACUCCUACGGGAGGCAGCAGUAAGGAAUAUUGGGCAAUGGCCGCGAGGCUGACCCAGCCAUGCCGCGGGCAGGAAGACGGCCUUAUGGGUUGUAAACUGCUUUUAUACGGGAAUAAUAGAGUGUACGCGUACAUUUAUGCAAGUAUCGUAUGAAUAAGCAUCGGCUAACUCCGU